rnacentral:tRNA from 1 species
GGAUAGGUGCCCGGAGCGGUUAUCGGGGGCCGGGGCUUUGGCUCUGGUCGGGUCCUUGCGGCCCACGCAGGUUCGAAUCCUGCCCUCUCCG